rnacentral:misc_RNA from 1 species
AACGCAUCUUGCGCUCCUUGGCAUUCCGAGGAAGCACGCCUGUCUGAGUGUCGUUAAAAAUUCCUCAAAUCCGCUACUUCCCCCCGCUUGGGGGUAGGAACUGGGUUUGGAUCGGUGGAGGCCAUGUUGCGGGCCACUUCUCUUUGAAGCCUGCUCCUCUGAAAUGCAUUGUUGGCGAGGGCUGUGAUCGUGCAUUGUCUGUCGCUCUUGGCACGGUAAAAUUCGGUAAGAAUCUUAUGCCACGGACGCAGAAAGGGCCUGCCCCACGGCUAGAAACCCUGAUGACUAUUUUGACCUCAGAUCAGGUGGGACUACCCGCUGAACUUAA